GAUAACUCCUUUUAUGAAUUUCACUUAGUGCUACCGAUUUCCGUGUUUUUCUCGAAAAGAAACGAUGUCUUCGUAUCCGACACAAAAUUAUUAUAGACGGGGUAACUAUCCCGUGUUAUCGGGCUGCAGGCAAAAUAAUGAGAUAUUGAUUCGUCCUCUUUUUCGAAAACAUGUAGACGAGAUGACGGCUGUGGCAAAUGCCAACUUGCCCCUUUCUUACCACCGGGCUUUUCUGGAGCGAGACUUCCUGAACUCUUCGUGUCGUGCUUAUGGCGCUUUCACGGCGCAUGGGAGAUUAAUUGGGCUCGUCUUUGGAUCACUAGAAGAACCUCGUCCCCCUAUACCUGUCCUGCAAAGGGGAACGUAAUAAACUUCAACUGAUUUAACUUCAGUUCGGAUUGUGUCCAAGCAAGAUGUUCCUGGUAAAGAUUCUUGCUGUCGAUAAGCCGUUCCGAAGACAACAAAUUGGAAGAAGACUCAUGAAUACAAUCUUAGAACAACUUGAAAGUUGUCCAAACUUACGUUUUGGAACACAGGCCAUAUACCUGCAGGUUAUGAGCGAAAACCUCGGGGCUAUUGCGCUCUAUGAGAGUCUUGGAUUCGUAAUUGUCACAUUGAUUCCGCAGUAUUAUUCAACGCAUCCAAGAAGGGAUGCGUAUGUCAUGGUUCGGGUACUUGGCAACGAUAGUGUCCACAACAAAUGCCAAAGAGCUAACGUCCAGCUGGGGCCAAUCACCUACGAAUAUCUUUGCAACUACUAAGAUAAAAGUGAAUGGUUUUAGCGAUACUGAUAUAUAUCCGACAUUAUCGGACAUCACUUUCGUAUCCAAUA